AUUCCAUGAUGUGGAAAUCUCCUUUGAAGAUCCUUAUAUCUCUCCCAUGCUUCAUAAAGACUCUCGUCAUCCCUUGGUCCAAAAGAAGUUAACUCAUUCCUUAGUUU